GACCGCUCUGGUGGCUUAGUGGUUAUAGCGUCCGCCUCGGAUGUGGAAAGUCGUGGGUUCGAUCCCCGGUCGAGUCA